rnacentral:rRNA from 1 species
ACAGCAGCAGCCGCGGUAAUACAGAGGGUGCGAGCGUUAAUCGGAUUUACUGGGCGUAAAGCGUGCGUAGGCGGCUUUUUAAGUUGGAUGUGAAAUCCCUGAGCUUAACUUAGGAAUUGCAUUCGAUACUGGGAAGCUAGAGUAUGGGAGAGGAUGGUAGAAUUCCAGGUGUAGCGGUGAAAUGCGUAGAGAUCUGGAGGAAUACCGAUGGCGAAGGCAGCCAUCUGGCCUAAUACUGACGCUGAGGUACGAAAGCAUGGGGAGCAAACAGGAUUAGAUACCCGUGUAGUCCCUGUCUCUUAUAC